AUAUUGGACAAUGGGCGAAAGCCUGAUCCAGCCAUGCCGCGUUUGUGAAGAAGGUCUUCGGAUUGUAAAGCACUUUAAGGUGGGAGGAAUGGCAGUAAGUUAAUACCUUGCUGUUUUUACGUUACUGACAUAAUAAGCACCUGCUAAUUUCGUUCCAUCAGCCGCGGUAAUACGAAGGGUGCAAGCGUUAAUCGGAAUUACUGGGCGUAAAGCGCGCGUAGGUGGUUCGUUAAGUUGGAAGUGAAAGCCCCGGGGUUAACCUGGGAAUUGCUUUCAAAACUGACGAGCUGAAGUACGGUAGAGGGUAGUGAAAUUUCCUGUGUAGCGGUGAAAUGCGUAGAUAUAGGAAGGAACAUCAGUGGCGAAGGCGACUACCUGGACUGAUACUGACACUGAGGUGCGAAAGCGUGGGGAGCAAACAGG
rnacentral:rRNA from 1 species